UACGUAGGGUGCAAGCGUUAAUCGGAAUUACUGGGCGUAAAGCGUGCGCAGGCGGCUUUGCAAGACAGAUGUGAAAUCCCCGGGCUUAACCUGGGAACUGCAUUUGUGACUGCAUAGCUUGAGUGCGGCAGAGGGGGAUGGAAUUCCGCGUGUAGCAGUGAAAUGCGUAGAUAUGCGGAGGAACACCGAUGGCGAAGGCAAUCCCCUGGGCCUGCACUGACGCUCAUGCACGAAAGCGUGGGGAGCAAACAGG
rnacentral:rRNA from 1 species